AUUGAACGCUGGCGGCAGGCCUAACACAUGCAAGUCGAGCGGAGCGGCGGACGGGUGAGUAAUGCCAAGGAAUCUGACAGGGAGUGGGGGAUAACGUUCGGAACCGGGCGCUAAUACCGCUAACUAUCAGAUGAGCCUAGGGCGGAUUAGCUAGUUGGUGGGGUAAAGGCCUACCAAGGCGACGAUCCGUAACUGGUCUGAGAGGAUGAUCAGACACACUGGAACUGAGACCCGGUCCAGACUCCUACGGGAGGCAGCAGUGGGGAAUAUUGGACAAUGGGCGAAAGCCUGAUCCAGCCAUGCCGCGUGUGUGAAGAAGGUCUUCGGAUUUUAAAGCACUUUAAGUUGGGAGGCGUUACCAGCAGAAUAAGCACCGGCUAACUUCGUGCCAGCAGCCGCGGUAAUUC
rnacentral:rRNA from 1 species